UACGAAGGUGGCAAGCGUUGUUCGGAUUUACUGGGCGUAAAGGGAGCGUAGGUGGUGCGGUAAGCCCUCCGGGGAAAGCUUCAGGCUUAACCUGAAAAAGGUCGGGGGGGGGACUGCCCGCGCUAGAGGACGGGGAGAGGAGCGCGGAAUUCCCGGUGUAGCGGUGAAAUGCGUAGAGAUCGGGAGGAAGGCCGGUGGCGAAGGCGGCGCUCUGGAACGUUUCUGACACUGAGGCUCGAAAGCGUGGGGAGCAAACAGGG
rnacentral:rRNA from 1 species